CCUGCGGUGGAGGUGCCCCAGUACGUGGGCAUCCGGCUCCUGGUGGAAGGCUCCACUAUCAAGAAACCCCUGACCAUGUAUCAUCGACGGAUGGGGGUCCACCCCGCAUUUCCUCGUCUGCUGACCCAGCAAGGCUCUGGGGAAGGCAAGGACUCAGGGACCCCUACCCACAGGUCAGCUUCUAGGAAAGUUGGCAGGGCCAGGAGCCGGGGCACAUGGAAAGGCCAACCUUCACUGCCACUACUUCGGUGCCCGGAAAGGGGAAGAAUGGCAAGUCGAAAAGAGCCACAGCCCUGCUUACCCCCAGCCUUGAGCAGACCAGACCACCUUUGCAUCUGAAGACCCCCAUCACCCAACACACCCAAGGGUCCCGAGGCAAGGCCUUGAUGACUCUGCCAACAGCCAAGGUUUUCAUUUGCUUCCCACCCAACCCUGCUCUCAAGCUGGCACCCAGCAUCUCAAAGCCAAAAAAGGUGCAGCUCUUCCUAGCAUCCCUAAGAAGGUCAAGGGCAAGUUUAAGGCCAGACAGUGUGACAAACCGAGGCACCCCAGGCCCAGGCAUGCUCUGUGAAGAGGCUUAACCUCCCACAACCCUCACCCCUUGCUUCUACGUUCCAGGGGCCAGCAGUCAAGGGGCCCUGGGGGAUGUGAGGCUGGAGAAAGCCCGGCUCUGACCCCCAUGGCCCUGGCCUGGAUCCAGCCUCAAAUAAAAAGGAGCACAUGGAGUAUUCUGGGUUGACUUCCCUGUACUGGAGGGGGAAGGGUGGGACGAGGCCCCUGCCCCCAAGGUCCAGCCAUGGUGAGAGCUGGAGGCCGGAACUCCCAACAGGGAAGUUGGAGACUUCUGUGCAGGGAUCACACACAUGAGAAACCAAGUCUGGAAAAGGAUAUGUGGCUGGCCCAGUAUGUUGUGAUGUUGUGGCAGUGAGUGGAAAGCAGGGGGCUUUCUCCUGGCCACCAGGAGCUCCCCAGUCCCAGGAGACAGGCUAGGGACAGUAAUGACAGCAGCUGGGGGACAAAGUCAGCCUUGCCUGAACUCACCCCACUUCCAGAGGACAUGGGUCUGUCCUUCCUCUGCAAGAAG
ensembl:lncRNA